rnacentral:rRNA from 1 species
UGUGUAGGCGGGCUAUUAAGUCAGUGGUGAAAUCUCCGAGCUUAACUUGGAAACUGCCAUUGAUACUAUUAGUCUUGAAUUUUGUUGAGGUAGGCGGAAUAAGUCAUGUAGCGGUGAAAUGCAUAGAUAUGACUUAGAACACCAAUUGCGAAGGCAGCUUGCUAAACAAAUAUUGACGCUGAGGCACGAAAGCGUGGGGAUCAAACA